rnacentral:lncRNA from 10 species
GUUUAUAUUAAGAAGAGCCUAUUAAAUAUAUUCUUAAGCCUGCUUGCUGUUGCUUAACUUCACUGAGACCUAGAAACAAUGCAACUGAAGUGACAAAAUCACCUUGACAUCUGCCCUAGGAUUCCUCAACUGACCGCUGGCUCUAUCUCUCAGCAAAUCUUCCCGUCCCACUGGACACAUGGAAACUUUGGAUCUCUAUGCAACAAUCAAAGGGAACAAGCAACUGUAGGGAAAGUAGGAAGUCCAACAAUUUCUUCUUCAUAGACCGUUUUGCCUGAUCUUCCUGAGGAAAGAGAGCUAGAAGACAUAGACAAGGAUGAGAAGAGCUAUUCUUAGGGGAGAGCCAGAUUUCAGGUAAGGAGAUAGAGGUAGUUCAUUUGGCAGAUGAUUCAGAGAGCAGGAAGAGCGAAGCAUGAAGAAAGUGAAAGCACAGUAGAGAAUAAAAAGCUAGUGAAGCUUGCGUUUUGAAUGACAGGCAAAGCAGAGGGAAUCGGGAGAGAAAUUUAGUGGACUGUUCUGAAGAAAGCCUUCUGAAGAGAACUUUGGUA